GAUGAGAAUGAUUUGUAAACAUGAAGUUGGUGUUGUAUAAAUUCUGUUGGUUAUAGAAUUUCUUUGAUGAUUAUCCAAGUGUCCUCCUGGGGCAGAAGUCAGAAAAAUUAAAUCUGCAACCAUCAUAAUUUUAGAGUUCUAAAAUGUGAACCUAUGUCAUAAAUGGGCAUUAACAUUCUAAAUCACCUGGUUUGGAGAAUGUGUUAGCAGCAUAGCUAUGUUCAACUAAGGAAAUGGCUAAAUACCAGAAGUUUCCAGAGCCUUGGAACAGAUUUACAGGGGAACUCUAUAUGUAUGUGUAUAUUUUAUUAAACACCCAUCUGCACUAUUCAGUGUUGCACUAAUGUGGAAUUUGAAAAACUAUAUUGCUGAUACUGUAUAUCUGCACAUCAUUCCUGAUUAGAUUGUUUAAAAGACAAUCUCAAAGGUCUAAGGUUUUAAAAUAAUUUGGUUGGUUUGAAAAUACACAGUCAUCUUGAAGGAAUCACUGUCAUGCAUGAAGUUGCUCAGAGUGGUCUUUAUUCUCUUCUUGGUCAAGGUUAACAAUUUCUAAAUGAUUGCAAAUUCACUUAAAUAAUACAUUUACAAAGCCAUUUUACAUGCAUUAAACGAGGGCUACAACAAUAUUAUGUUUUACAAAUACUAGCACUUUUUUUUUUGCUGUUAUGUACUUAGUGUUAGAGGGUCAAAAUAAUCUUUCUGCUUAGCAUCUCUUAAACCAUACCUGCAAAUAUAGCAGGAUUAUUACAUUUACAGUACUUUAAUACUUGUAUAAACUAUGCAGAAAUUUUUAAUAAAGUGUAAUAUAUUUUAUAAGCUAAUAAGACUGAAUGGGUAAAGGUUUUUAGCAUGCAUUAGUAUACUUGCAAAUACUGAAACAUUUUGGUAAUCUUUCUUACUAAAGAUGUGAAUGUUUAAUGUUCCUUCUCUGUUUCUACUCUGUAGUCCAAUGGGAAUUCAGUAAUGACAUUUUGUCAUGUCAAACUGUGAACAUAAAUUUGUACUGUACAGUCCUCAUAUACUAUAUACAGUAUGCAAUAUAUGUAUUAUAUACUUGUUAAUAAAACCAUCAGAAUAUU
rnacentral:lncRNA from 1 species